rnacentral:rRNA from 1 species
UACGUAGGGUGCAAGCGUUGUCCGGAAUUAUUGGGCGUAAAGAGCUCGUAGGCGGUCUGUCGCGUCUGCUGUGAAAACUCAGGGCUUAACCCUGAGCUUGCAGUGGGUACGGGCAGACUAGAGUGCGGUAGGGGAGACUGGAAUUCCUGGUGUAGCGGUGAAAUGCGCAGAUAUCAGGAGGAGCACCGGUGGCGAAGGCGGGUCUCUGGGCCGAUACUGACGCUGAGGAGCGAAAGCGUGGGGAGCGAACAGG